GGGAACGUGCCCUUCUCUGCGGAAUAGCCACUGGAAACGGUGAGUAAUACCGCAUACGCCCUUCGGGGGAAAGAUUUAUCGGAGAAGGAUCGGCCCGCGUUAGAUUAGAUAGUUGGUGGGGUAACGGCCUACCAAGUCUACGAUCUAUAGCUGGUUUUAGAGGAUGAUCAGCAACACUGGGACUGAGACACGGCCCAGACUCCUACGGGAGGCAGCAGUGGGGAAUCUUAGACAAUGGGCGCAAGCCUGAUCUAGCCAUGCCGCGUGUGUGAUGAAGGUCUUAGGAUCGUAAAGCACUUUCGCCAGGGAUGAUAAUGACAGUACCUGGUAAAGAAACCCCGGCUAACUCCGUGCCAGCAGCCGCGGUAAUACGGAGGGGGUUAGCGUUGUUCGGAAUUACUGGGCGUAAAGCGUACGUAGGCGGAUCAGAAAGUUGGGGGUGAAAUCCCGGGGCUCAACCCCGGAACUGCCUCCAAAACUCCUGGUCUUGAGUUCGAGAGAGGUGAGUGGAAUUCCAAGUGUAGAGGUGAAAUUCGUAGAUAUUUGGAGGAACACCAGUGGCGA
rnacentral:rRNA from 1 species